GGAGGAGCCCAGGAACAAACUUACGGAGCUGUUUCCUCCAAAUUCCUCCCUCUCUGUGAUCUCCCUGGUCCUUUCCUGAUCGCUGGGCUCCCUUUUUCGGGCCUCUGGCCAAAAACUUGUGUUGUAGUUACCCUGCUCUGCCGUGCACUUCCUACAACUGCACCCACAAGUCGCGGCCAAGCAGCGAAGAUUUAAGAGAGAAACUUUACAACGAAGUAGAUUCUACAAAGCAGCCUAAGUGUAAAGCUUCAGCCUGGACCCUCAUUGAAUUUGACAGCAAAGUGUCAUGGUUCCAAGACAGCAUCUGAUUCCGGUUCCCUGCUGUGGGUCUGGUUUUGUGUGGUUGUAGCAGAAUUAUGAGAACAAGCCUCCCUCGAUUUGGGCUACACUGUCCACAGUCACAGAGCAUCUUCCAGAGAAGAAAACACCUGCAAUGAUGAGACAGAAGGAGAACGGUGGCAUCUCUCACUGUAAAGGAAAGAACACUGGGGCCACAAAGUGUCAUCAGCCAUGUUCCUCUCCAGUCCAAGGACUCCCAGACACUUAGUGUUCCCGCUCCUGAGUGAAAAUGUUAACCAUCAGCACACUCUCAAAGAUCACUCACUCUAGGAAGUCAGCUGCCAUGUCAUGAUGAUGCUCAAGCAGCCUUGUGGAAAAGCUUCACAAGGAGAGGAACUGAGGCCUCCUGUCAACAGCCGUGAGAGGGGGCUGUCUUAAAAGCAGAUCCUCCAGCCCCAGUCAAGCCUUCAGAUGACGGCAGCCCCUGUGGACAUCCUGACCACAACUUCAUGAGACCCUAAGCCAGAAACACUCAGCUAAACUGCCCUGGAUUUCUGACUCUCAGAAACUGUGAGAUAAUAAAUGUGUGUUAUUCUAAA